AGAGUUUGAUCAUGGCUCAGGAUGAACGCUGGCGGUAUGCUUUACACAUGCAAGUCGUACGGGAGUUUUUAACUCAAGUGGCGGACGGGUGAGUAACACGUAAGAAUUUGCCUUUAGGAGGGGGAUAACAACUGGAAACGGUUGCUAAUACCCCAUAUGCUUUCGAGUGAAAUGGAUUUUUCCGCCUAAAGAGAAGCUUGCGGCUGAUUAGCUUGUUGGUAAGGUAAUGGCUUACCAAGGCGACGAUCAGUAUCUGGUUUGAGAGGACGAUCAGACACACUGGAACUGAGACACGGUCCAGACUCCUACGGGAGGCAGCAGUGGGGAAUUUUCCGCAAUGGGCGAAAGCCUGACGGAGCAAUACCGCGUGAGGGAUGACGGCCUAUGGGUUGUAAACCUCUUUUUUCAGGGAGGAAUCAAUGACGUGUACCUGAAGAAUAAGCAUCGGCUAACUCCGUGCCAGCAGCCGCGGUAAGACGGAGGAUGCAAGUGUUAUCCGGAAUCACUGGGCGUAAAGCGUCUGUAGGUGGUCAAAUAAGUCAACUGUUAAAUCUUGAGGCUCAACCUCAAAAUCGCAGUCGAAACUAUUAGACUAGAGUAUAGUAGGGGUAAAGGGAAUUUCCAGUGGAGCGGUGAAAUGCGUAGAGAUUGGAAAGAACACCGAUGGCGAAGGCACUUUACUGGGCUAUUACUAACACUGAGAGACGAAAGCUAGGGUAGCAAAUGGGAUUAGAUACCCCAGUAGUCCUAGCCGUAAACAAUGGAUACUAGAUGUUGAACAGAUCGACCUGUACAGUAUCAAAGCUAACGCGUUAAGUAUCCCGCCUGGGAAGUAUGCU
rnacentral:rRNA from 1 species